rnacentral:rRNA from 1 species
AGUGAACGCUGGCGGUAGGCCUAACACAUGCAAGUCGAACGGCAGCACAGUAAGAGCUUGCUCUUACGGGUGGCGAGUGGCGGACGGGUGGGGAAUACAUCGGAAUCUACUUUUUCGUGGGGGAUAACGUAGGGAAACUUACGCUAAUACCGCAUACGACCUACGGGUGAAAGCAGGGGAUCUUCGGACCUUGCGCGAUUGAAUGAGCCGAUGUCGGAUUAGCUAGUUGGCGGGGUAAGGGCCCACCAAGGCGACGAUCCGUAGCUGGUCUGAGAGGAUGAUCAGCCACACUGGAACUGAGACACGGUCCAGACUCCUACGGGAGGCAGCAGUGGGGAAUAUUGGACAAUGGGCGCAAGCCUGAUCCAGCCAUACCGCGUGGGUGAAGAAGGCCUUCGGGUUGUAAAGCCCUUUUGUUGGGAAAGAAAAGCAGCAGGUUAAUACCCCGCUGUUCUGACGGUACCCAAAGAAUAAGCACCGGCUAACUUCGUG